rnacentral:rRNA from 1 species
CUAAAUCGAGUGGCGAACGGGUGAGUAACGCGUGAGGAACCUGCCUCAAAGAGGGGGGAAACAGUUGGAAACGACUGCUAAUACCGCAUAAGACCACGGUACCGCAUGGUACAGUGGUAAAAACUCCGGUGGUAUGAGAUGGACCCGCGUCUGAUUAGGUAGUUGGUGGGGUAACGGCCUACCAAGCCGACGAUCAGUAGCCGACCUGAGAGGGUGACCGGCCACAUUGGGACUGAGACACGGCCCAG